CAUGGUGGGGAACUUUUGGCCCUCCAAAUGUUGAUGAACUAAAAAUCAUUGGUCAUGCUUGCUGAGGCUGAUGGGAGUUGUAGUUCAGUGAACAUCUGGAGGGCCAAAGGUUCCCCACAC